GAUGAACGCUAGCUACAGGCUUAACACAUGCAAGUCGAGGGGAAACGGCAUCGAAAGCUUGCUUUUGAUGGGCGUCGACCGGCGCACGGGUGAGUAACGCGUAUCCAACCUGCCCAUCACUUGGGAAUAACCUUGCGAAAGUAAGACUAAUGCCCAAUGACAUCCCACGAAGGCAUCCGAAUGGGAUUAAAGAUUUAUCGGUGAUGGAUGGGGAUGCGUCUGAUUAGCUUGUUGGCGGGGUGACGGCCCACCAAGGCAACGAUCAGUAGGGGUUCUGAGAGGAAGGUCCCCCACAUUGGAACUGAGACACGGUCCAAACUCCUACGGGAGGCAGCAGUGAGGAAUAUUGGUCAAUGGGCGAGAGCCUGAACCAGCCAAGUAGCGUGCAGGAUGACGGCCCUAUGGGUUGUAAACUGCUUUUAUAAGGGAAUAAAGUGGGUCACGUGUGACUUUUUGCAUGUACCGUAUGAAUAAGGACCGGCUAAUUCCGU
rnacentral:rRNA from 1 species